rnacentral:piRNA from 1 species
GGGAGGUUUUGAAGGUUUGACCUUGAUGGA